rnacentral:rRNA from 1 species
CAGCCGCCACGGUAAUACAGAGGGUGCGAGCGUUAAUCGGAUUUACUGGGCGUAAAGCGUGCGUAGGCGGCUUCUUAAGUCGGAUGUGAAAUCCCUGAGCUUAACUUAGGAAUUGCAUUCGAUACUGGGAAGCUAGAGUAUGGGAGAGGAUGGUAGAAUUCCAGGUGUAGCGGUGAAAUGCGUAGAGAUCUGGAGGAAUACCGAUGGCGAAGGCAGCCAUCUGGCCUAAUACUGACGCUGAGGUACGAAAGCAUGGGGAGCAAACAGGAUUAGAUACCCGGGUAGUCCCUGUCUCUUAUAA